GCAGGAAUAAGUCACAGUAAGGACACAGCAUAGCCAUGAAGUCUCGUACUCAGGCCCUGGCAAUUGGGCUACUCUGGCUCUCAGGUGCCAUAUGUGACAUUCAAGUGACACAAUCUCCACCCCUCCUCUCAGUAUCUGUAGGAGACAAAGUAACUCUCACUUGUCUUGUAAGUCAGGACAUUGGUAAUGGCUUGAGCUGGUACCAGCAGAAAUCAGGGCAAUCUCCUACACUCUUGAUCUAUUAUGGAAAUUUUUUGCAAUCUGGUGUCCCAUCAAGGUUCAGUGGCCAAUAUUCCGGUAGAAAUUUCACUCUAAGCAUUAGCAGCCUGGAGUCUGAAGAUUUCGCAAUGUAUUAUUGUCUUCACGAUUACAAUACUUGCUCACAGUGA